rnacentral:rRNA from 1 species
GAAGAGAAAGACGCCCUGUGGAAACGCAGGGAGAGCGUCUCGGAUCAUUGACACUAAAUAGAGCAGCAACGUCCAAUUAAAGGGCCCUGAUCACGAAACACAGGAACAAAAUGAAUCUGGAGAGUUUGAUCCUGGCUCAGAACGAACGCUGGCGGCGUGCCUAACACAUGCAAGUCCAACGUGAAAGGGGAGCAAUCCCCCGGUAGGGUGGCAAACGGGUGAGUAAUACAUGGGUGAUCUACCUUAGGGAUGGGGAUAUCCUUCCGAAAGGAGGGGCAAUACCGAAUAUUGUCCGGAGCCAUGAAGGGUUCCGGGGAAAGGGAGGCCUCUGAUACAAGCUUUCGCCUUAAGAUGAGCCCAUGGCCCAUCAGCUAGUUGGUAGGGUAAAGGCCUACCAAGGCUACGACGGGUCGCUGGUCUGAGAGGACGACCAGCCACACUG